rnacentral:lncRNA from 1 species
UGCCAGGAAAAUGCUUCAGCAAUCACAUAACAAAAAAGAUCUGGAGAGUUCCCUCUGAAGUCCAAAAUAAGAUGCUUGUAUCAAAUUCUGCAUGUUUAUUUCUUUACUGGUCAGUUAUAAACAGUGAUUGGGUUUUCAAAAAAUAUUCUUUAAAUAGUAGCAAUGGACAGUAGAAAAAACAUUGUAGGCAAUUAUAUUAUUCAAAAGUUUUCUGAAACUACAAAGUUACACUCACAUCUCCC